rnacentral:rRNA from 1 species
UGAGGAAUCUUGCGCAAUGGGCGAAAGCCUGACGCAGCGACGCCGCGUGGAGGAUGAAGGUCUUUGGAUUGUAAACUCCUGUUAAGUGGGAAGAAAAGCCCUUUUUUAAUAGAAAAGGGUAAUGACGGUACCAUUAGAGAAAGCACCGGCUAAUCUCGUGCCAGCAGCCGCGGUAAUACGAGAGGUGCAAGCGUUAUUCGGAAUUAUUGGGCGUAAAGGGUGCGUAGGUGGUAUGUUAAGUCAACUGUAAAAUUCCUCAGCCUAACUGAGGGCUCGCAGUAGAAACUAGCACACUAGAGGUUGGAAGAGAGAAGUGGAAUUCUCGGAGUAGCGGUAAAAUGCGUAGAUCUCGAGAGGAACACCGAUGGCGAAGGCAGCUUCUUGGUCCAAACCUGACACUAAGGCACGAAAGCGUGGGGAGCAAACAGG